GGGGAUGUAUAACCUCCGUCUUAUAAGCGGUAGAAAGUUUAAGCGGUCACAUGUGGGUUCGAGCCCCACCAUCCCUACCA
rnacentral:tRNA from 1 species